rfam:Trichoderma reesei QM6a unplaced genomic scaffold TRIREscaffold_25, whole genome shotgun sequence.
UCCGAUAUGGUGUAGUGGCUAACAUCGCUCGCUCUCAUCCAACGAGUGCCGAGCAGCCCUGGGUUCGAUUCCCAGUAUCGGAG